rnacentral:rRNA from 1 species
AACGGGAGGGGCAGGCGUUAUUCGUGUGAUAUGGCGUAAAGGGUACGUAGGCGUUUACUAAUGUUUCUCCAUGAAAGAUCAAGCAAUAAGAUGCACAUAAUUGUUGUAUUUAGUAAACUUGGAAGGUGGUUAAACAGUGUAAAUAUAAUUAAUACGCGUUAGAUGAAUUCCGGUGAAGGGUUACAAUCGCCGAUGUCGGAAGGAAGACCGAAAGUGAAGACGUCUAGCUAGUUAGUAAUUGAAGCUGAGGUACGAAGGUACGGGGAGCAAAUGG